AUUGAACGCUGGCGGCGUGCCUAACACAUGCAAGUCGAGCGGACGAAGGGAGCUUGCUCCUGUCUUCAGUGGCGGACGGGUGGGUAAUUCCUAGGAGUCUGCCUUGUAUUUGGGGCUAACGUCCGUACGCGGGCGCUAAGCCCGCAUACGUCCUGAUGUUGAAAGUGAGGGAUCUUCGGACCUCACGCUAUUUGAUGAGCCUAGGUCGGAUUAGCUAGUUGGUUGGGUAAAGGCCUACCAAGGCGACGAUCCGUAACUGGUCUGAGAGGAUGAUCAGUCACACUGGAACUGAGACACGGUCCAGACUCCUACGGGAGGCAGCAGUAGGGAAUCUUGGACAAUGGGCGAAAGCCUGAUGCAGCAAUGCCGCGUGAGUGAAGAAGGUCUUCGGAUUGUAAAGCACUUUAAGUAGGGAGGAAGGACAGUGAGAUAAACCAUUGACGUCUUGACGGUACCAAAAGAGAAAGCCACGGCUAACUUCGUG
rnacentral:rRNA from 1 species